ACAAAGAAAAGGCAAAGCACGCGAAAACGUGUUACGCAAAACCACCGGUCUAAGGGUAAAGUUUAAUUAUUUAUCUAUGACAGCGGAGUCACCUCG
rfam:Colwellia psychrerythraea 34H, complete genome.